CCAGAAACCCUCUGCCCAGAGCUCUUCCCUCCCCUCCUUCUGUCUCGCCAGUUCUGGCGUGUUCCAGAUUGGGUAAGCAAUCGUUUGUGGAAAAACCAAGGGAAACCAAGCCAACCGAAGCCAAACCCACCAGCUAAGGGAAAGUGUUAGUGAAGAAAUCUCUGAUUCGUGAGCCAUAGUUGAGGAGAUAUCACCCCACAAUUAAG